rnacentral:tRNA from 1 species
GUUAUUUUGGCAGAGUAGUGCUAUUGAUUUAGAAUCUUUAUAUGUAAUAGUUUAUUACAAAUAACA